GACGAACGCUGGCGGCGUGCUUAACACAUGCAAGUCGAACGGAAAGGCCCUGCUUUUGUGGGGUGCUCGAGUGGCGAACGGGUGAGUAACACGUGAGUAACCUGCCCUUGACUUUGGGAUAACUUCAGGAAACUGGGGCUAAUACCGGAUAGGAGCUCCUGCUGCAUGGUGGGGGUUGGAAAGUUUCGGCGGUUGGGGAUGGACUCGCGGCUUAUUAGCUUGUUGGUGGGGUAGUGGCUUACCAAGGCUUUGACGGGUAGCCGGCCUGAGAGGGUGACCGGCCACAAUGGGACUGAGAUACGGCCCAGACUCCUACGGGAGGCAGCAGUGGGGAAUAUUGCACAAUGGGCGGAAGCCUGAUGCAGCAACGCCGCGUGCGGGAUGACGGCCUUCGGGUUGUAAACCGCUUUCGCCUGUGACGAAGCGUGAGUGACGGUAAUGGGUAAAGAAGCACCGGCUAACUACGUG
rnacentral:rRNA from 1 species